AAAACAUUUACUUUUCUAUUGCAGUGCCAAUUCUAUGCAGGAAUCUAAAAGCUGAUGCAAAAUUAUAAAACCAACCUUUGAGGUCUCCAGUGUAAACCAAAAGAAAAAUCAUAAAUCAAGGCUACCUGAGUUAUAUUUAAGGAAUGAGUUAUAUUUAACACAGUAACAGUAAGACUUGGUAAUGAUUUUCUAACUCAACUUUAAUGAUGGAAAUGAAGCUCACAGAGUUUGAUAAACAUGUUACACUGAACUGAAACUGAAAACUCAUAAUGCCGGGAUGUGUUCUCGUUGAUAUAAAAGCAAAAACCAGUAACACCAUAGGUUAAGACUGUGAACCGACACUGCAGCAUUAACUUUAACAUCCUCAGCUCAAACAAAAACAACUUGGACAAUAAAAUUGGAACCCCACAGUGUGGAUCCAUUACCUAUAACGGGCAAAGAACACAUCCCAAAGUAGUUCCAUUCUUUCAAAUUUUCUUCUAUUUAUGUACAGGGUAUA
rnacentral:misc_RNA from 1 species